AUUGAACGCUGGCGGCAUGCCUUACACAUGCAAGUCGAACGGUGACAGGUUAAGCUGACGAGUGGCGAACGGGUGAGUAAUACAUCGGAACGUGCCCAGUAGUGGGGGAUAGCCCGGCGAAAGCCGGAUUAAUGCCGCAUACGACCUAAGGGUGAAAGGGGGGGAUCGCAAGACCUCUCGCUAUUGGAGCGGCCGAUGUCAGAUUAGGUAGUUGGUGGGGUAAAGGCCCACCAAGCCGACGAUCUGUAGCUGGUCUGAGAGGACGACCAGCCACACUGGGACUGGGACACGGCCCAGACUCCUACGGGAGGCAGCAGUGGGGAAUUUUGGACAAUGGGCGCAAGCCUGAUCCAGCCAUGCCGCGUGCGGGAAGAAGGCCUUCGGGUUGUAAACCGCUUUUGUCAGGGAAGAAAUCCUUUGGGUUAAUACCUCGGGGGGAUGACGGUACCUGAAGAAUAAGCACCGGCUAACUACGUGCCAGCAGCCGCCGUAA
rnacentral:rRNA from 1 species